AGACAUUAUAUACAUUCCAUGGUCUGGUUGGGUGCAGGGACAAGUCUUUGAUCUCGAUUUCAUCUUCUCCUGUGUUCACAGGGCUUCGAUCUUGUGGAGGUCCCUGGGGAAUGUUGCAAGAAGUGCCAGCAGACCCAUUGCAUCAUCGAGGGGCCCAAGCAGCAGAACCUCAUUCUGAAGCCUGGAGAGAUACAGAGAAACCCCAACGACAAGUGCACCUUCUUCAGCUGUGUGAAAAUCAACAACCACCUCAUCUCCUCAGUCUCCAAUAUCACCUGCCCCGACUUCAACCCAAGUGAUUGUGUUCCAGGCUCCAUCACAUACAUGCCUAAUGGCUGCUGUAGGACAUGCAUUUCUAACCAGACCAGAGUCCCUUGCUCUGCCAUCCCCGUCAUGAAGGAGAUUUCCUACAAUGGCUGCACCAAGAACAUCUCCAUGAACUACUGUUAUGGGUCCUGUGGGACUUUUGCCAUGUACUCUGCCCAGGCCCAGGAUCUGGAUCACAGGUGUU